rnacentral:sRNA from 1 species
UGAUCGAUCGGGUAGAACCACGCUUUG